GCGGAGGGCGGAGCCGGUGGGUGGCGUUUGGGUGGAAACUGAGACCCAGAGAGCCGUGACUUGACUGAUCCCACAGCCAGGAAAUGGUGGAGCCUGGAUUUGAACCCCAGCUUUUAAGAAGAAGGUGCCACUGUCCUGGAAGAACUCUCAGGACAGCAUUAGUGUCUCAGGGAUCCCCCUAAUCGGAGGGGCCUUAAGCCUAAUCAUGAUUGUCACUGAAGAUCCAGGAGGGCUUCCUGGAGGAGGAGGCAGCUCCAUUCUGAAAUGCCAAGGGUACAGCUUUAUUGGGACAGCCAGUGUCUCUGAAUAUGUAGGUUUUGCACAGAGCUUGUACUGCCCCAGGGCCUGUACACUGCCUGUCCCCUCUGCCUUGUGCACUCUUUCCCUAGAUGUCCAAAUGGCUCCUUUCCUCACCUACCCCAAAUCUCAAUUCCAGUGUUUCCCCAGCCUCCCCUCAUUUCAGUAAUCACUCUGCAGUGAGCUAGGAUUGCGCCACUGCACUCCAGCUUGGAUAAGAGAACAAGACCCUGUCUCUUAACUAAAUACAUAAAUAAAAAUAAUUCCCCUCUUCAUCCCUCUUUACCCUGUUUUGAUGGUUUUGUUCAACUUUUCACCAAUAGGACUUUCUCUUAUGCAUUUACUCGUUUCUCUUCCAAUCCCUCCC
rnacentral:lncRNA from 10 species